CCUCCUCCUCCUCCUCCUCCCUCCUCCUCCUCCCCUCCUCCUCCUCCUCCUCCUCUUCAAUUCAAUUCAAUUUUAUUUGUAUAGCCCUUAAUCACCAUUACAGUCUCAAAGGGCUUAACAGGCCAAAUAUUUGUGACACCCCCCUUUACCCAUGCCCCCACACGGGCAAGAAAAAACUCCCUUGAAUCAGCAAGGAAGAAAUCUUGAGAAGAAACGCAGUGUAGGGGAUCCCUUCUUCCAGGGAUGGUCAGGAGUGCAAUGGGUGCCACAAUUGGCAUACAGACCGUGCCAACCGUCGCUGUGCGUGGUCUCAGCGCCCUGCAUGUCCCACAGCCUCCUUAUCUCUGCCCGCCAGCGCUAGGAGGCUUCAAACCUUUAGCUGAACAGCGGGAGAAGGAAGGAGCUCUCUGCGCCAUGGAACAACAUUCCUCAGGCUGGGAAUGCCGAAACAUUCCCAACACUGACGGAGAAACUGGAAGAAGAGGAGAAUAUCAAAGAGAUAACUAAGUCUCAGAAGAAGGCAUGUUUUCCACUGGUUUGGUACAAAUGUUUUCCUUUACUCGAUGUAAACAAAUGAUUGUGGUCAUGUGACAGGAAGCUGUUUGACUGUGUGACCAAUCACUGGCCUCCUCUCAGCUCGUGGUGGUUCUUUAAGAAGCGGAGGUCCUCACUUGUGUACUUAAUGAUUGAUUGUUGAUCUCUGUUCUGCUGGUAGCGUUAGACUCUAUGGCUCUGUGUCGUGUUCCGAGAUCAGUUAAAUAAAGCUUUAGUUUCCUUGCGGUUCACGUUGGUUGGGCCCAGUGCGUUAUGGGUAAGCUGGGUGCUCAGGGGUUGUGAUGGUCGAAGAAAAGGGGAAAGUGGUUUCUUGUUUUGCCAUUUGACUUGCAGCAUAUUUAGAAAUAAAAUCUUGCUUUUACUGUAACUUCAAUGCAAUGAAGUUGUCUCAUUGUUUCUCUUCUGCAAGGGUAUGUGUGUUGUGUGUUUGUGUGUCUGUGUAUCACUGUGUCUGUGUAUCAGUGUGUUUGUCUGUCAGUGUGUUUGUGCCUUUGUGUGACGGUGUGUUUGUGUGUCAGUGUGUUUGUGUGUCAGUGUGUUUGUGCCUUUGUGUGACGGUGUGUUUGUGUGUCAGUG
ensembl:lncRNA